rnacentral:lncRNA from 1 species
UCACUGUCUUAUUUGGCGUUGAGGUUUUUCUUUACUGUGACAAUAAAUCUUGUUAUGCAGGUGUAUCCUGACUUUGUGCUGGAUUGAAUGACGUGGCAGUUAAUGAUCACCCUCCAAACCUGCACUACAUACAUCUCAUGGUUAUUGAAAUCAAUCUCUAUAUAGAUAAAGAGAUUAACCAAAGUCUUCUGCAUUGUGGAAAUAUAAAUCAUCAAGUAAUGGAAUGUGAAAUCAAGGAGACAAAACUGUUAUGACUGUCAGGCUGUGUCAGCAUAUCUUCAUUUAACAGAACUCAAAUUAAUUUAUUUGUUUCAUAGUCAUAAUUGUGUCCAAGUGCUAGCUGCUAUACAAAUUGAGCUAAAAUAUAUGGUUGGUAGCAGGGUUAUAUGACUUGUCCUUUGGAAGGUGCUGAGAGAGUACAUGGAUUUAAAGAUUAAAUAUGAUCGUAGUCCCUACAAUUAUAAUGUUUUAUGGUUUUAUUCCCUAUAAGUGUUUUUGUUUGGAUUCAGUAUACUGUAAAUUUAACCCACUUAGGUUGGUGCAUUGGUAUUGGCUUGGGACCUGGGAGUGUGCUCCUCUUGAGGUCUGAGGUUCGAUUCUCUCUGGUGCCAAUUUGAGUGAGCUAAUUUAGCUUCUUCAAAAAAAAAGUAUACUGCAAAUUUAAAAAUUGUUGUUUUUAGUCCAAAACAGCAGUUUACUGCGCCAAGUAUGACGACAGGACUAAAAAGCAACAAUUUUUGAAUUUGCAAAGAUUAAAUUCAAAUAAAAACUUACGGGGAUUAAAACAAAAAAACGAAAUGUCAUAAUUAUAAUGGUUGGGAGUAAAGUCAUAUUUAUAACAUAAAAAGAUGAGUAUUAGGGUCACACUCCUUCAACACACCCCAAUAAUAAUAAGAUACAUCAUCCACUUUUUUAAUUCCUAUUACUUGCAACCAACAGGUUUCAUCUUUAUAGAGUGUAAGUGUGUAGCAAUUUUUUUAUUUUUAUUUUCUUAAUAUUUGGAUUUUGGCUAUUUAUUCAUCUUCUUCGUUGAGACCGUCUUUUGAAGUUUCAGACAGCAAUUGUUUUUUUGAUACAAACAUGUUCCAUAUACCAAU